rnacentral:lncRNA from 1 species
AUGGCUAAUUCUGAGACGAAAGAAAGGUCUAAAACCAAAGUUGGGAAAGGCAGAAGGAGGAGAUGGAUUUGGGAGACAAGGCAACAACAGAACCUAACAGCAUGCUGUGCAGAGGAUGAACAGGAGACACAAAUACUGAAGUUCAACUGUAAGUGGCUGAAAGAAUGCUACAAAUUAUUCAAUAAAAACAGGAGAGAGGAGGAAAUGUCUACAAAAAAAUUAAUAUUAGAGGCUGGAGAAAAGAUCUGAAACCCGGCCGAGUGCAGUGGGUCACUCCUGUAAUCCCAGCCCUUUGGGAGGCAGAGGUGGGCGGAUCACCUGAGGUCGGGAGUUCGAGACCAGCCUGACCAACAUGGUGAAACUCCGUCUCUACUAAAAAUAGCCGGGCGUGGUGGCACAUGCCUGUAAUCCCACUACUCGGGAGGCUGGAGCAAGAGAAUCGCUUGAACCUGGGAGGCGGAGGUUGCAGUGAGCCAAGAUCGUGCCAUUGCAGUCCAGCCUGGGCAACAAGAGUGAAACUUUGUCUCAAAAAAAAAAAAAACAAAGAAAAGAAAUCUGAAACCCAGCCUCUGAGUGGGGCCUACUGCAAGAAAACUACAAAUCCAGGUGUAUUCUAAGCACUGUCUGUAAAAAUUAUGAUGGCACAAACUUUCAUGAUAUGAGUGUCUGAAGAAUACAAUGACCUGUAAUCUUUGCAUAGAACUGUCUAGAGCCUUCUUCCUGAGUCUAAAGUAAAAUGCAGCAAAUUACAGCUAUAACUGCACAUGCUUCUUUAGCAUUUGUACUUUAUUAUGGACUAAAAUCCCACACUUGUGAGAAGAAGUCAUUGCCAGUGGAGAGAAGGAUACGGUGGGACUGUGUGUCUGUGGGGCUGGAGUUUCCAUAAUCCCAGAAAUGUUUUGAUAUUAAAAAUAUUGGGCAUUUAGCUGCAAAAAGGAAUGAAGCACUGACUCAAGUCACAAUGUGGAUGAACCUUAAAACAUUACGCUAAGUGAAAGAAGCCAGGCACAAAAUGACACAGAUUGUAUGAUUCCUUUUAUGUGAACUACCCAGAACAGUUAAAUCCACAGAAACAGAAAGCAGAUUAGGGGUUACCUCGGGCUACAGGGAGUAGGGAAUGGGGAGUGACUGCUUAGUGAGGAUGGG